UACAGAGGUCUCAAGCGUUGUUCGGAUUCAUUGGGCGUAAAGGGCGCGUAGGCUGCGGGGCAAGUCGGGUGUGAAAUCUCAGAGCUCAAUUCUGAAACUGCACUCGAUACUGCUUUGCUCGAGGACUGGAGAGGAGAUUGGAAUUCACGGUGUAGCAGUGAAAUGCGUAGAUAUCGUGAGGAAGACCAGUGGCGAAGGCGGAUCUCUGGACAGUUCCUGACGCUGAGGCGCGAAGGCCAGGGGAGCAAACGGG
rnacentral:rRNA from 1 species